CAAUAGCGUAUAACUAAAGUUGUUGCAGUUAAAAAGCUCGUAGUUGAACUUCAGCCCUGGCCGGGCAGGUCUGCCUCACGGUAUAGUACUAGUCUGGCUAGGGAGCUUACCUCUUGGUGAGCUCGCAUGUCGUUUACUCGGCGUGCGAGGGAACCAGGACUUUUACUUUGAGAAAAUUAGAGUGUUCAAAGCAGGCAAAUGCCCGAAUACAUUAGCAUGGAAUAAUGGAAUAGGACGUGCGGUUCUAUUUUGUUGGUUUCUAGAGUCGCCGUAAUGAUUAAUAGGGACAGUUGGGGGCAUUAGUAUCGAGUUGCUAGAGGUGAAAUUCUUGGAUUUACUCAAGACUAACUUCUGCGAAAGCAUUUGCCAAGGAUGUUUUCAUUAAUCAAGAACGAAGGUUAGGGGAUCGAAAACGAUCAGAUACCGUUGUAGUCUUAACAGUAAACUAUGCCGCU
rnacentral:rRNA from 1 species